GACGAACGCUGGCGGCGUGCUUAACACAUGCAAGUCGAACGGAAAGGCCACCACCUUGGUGGGGGUGCUCGAGCGGCGAACGGGUGAGUAACACGUGGGUGAUCUGCCCUGUACUCCGGGAUAAGCUUGGGAAACUGGAUCUAAUACCGGAUAGGAUCAUGGUCCAGAGUCUUCUGGUGGAAAAAUUAUUGUUUUGGUGCCGGAUGAGCGCGUGGCCUGUCAGCUUGUUGGUGGGGUAAUGGCCUACUAAGGCGUGGACGGGUGGCCUGCCGGCGAGGGUGGACAGACUGAUUGGGAGAGAGGGACGGGCCAGACACGGACGGCAGGCAGCGGUGAGGAAUAUUGCAGAAUGGGCGCAAGCCGGAUGCAGCGACGCCGCGUGAGGGAGGACUGCCUUCCGGUAAAAAACGCCUUUCGUGAAGAACGAAGCCACACCUUUUUAGGGUGGUGUGACGGUACCUUAGUUAAGAAGCACCGGCUAACUACGUG
rnacentral:rRNA from 1 species